ACUUCAGAAGAGAAGACAGUGAGCGUGGGCGAGGCGAGGCAUCCAGAGGCCCCGGCGACCCCUGCUCCCCAGUCCUCCGCCCCCUCGCGUCGCGGCCCUGGGCGGGCGCCGCGAGCCGGGUAAGCGGCGCUUGAGCCCCGGCCCAGAGGCCGAGGCGCGCCCCCGCGCCCUGCGCGCGCGCCGGCGGGGAAGGUGCGCGGGCGCCCUGGGCUCGGCGCUUGGGGGUGGGGGUGGGGGCGGGGAUGGGGGUGGGGGUGGGGGUGGGGGUAGGGGUGGCGGCGGGCCGUGGGGCGGUGGGGCGGUGCGCUUGCCCCACCCCGCGCGGCCCGGCGCUUCGCGGAAGCCGCUGCUGUGGCUUUUUUAAAAGGAUGGGGUCUAGAAGUUUCCUUUGCUACUCGCAAGUCUCCACUCCCCCCAGCCCCGCGGUGGAUAAUCCUAGACCUUUCAGCACCCCCGCCACCCCUUUCUUUUGCUCUCGCUGACUAAGAGGUUGAGUUGCAGGUUGGCUACAUUUUGUAUAUUUGGAAACGUACAAAGUACUCUGAAUUUCAUGAAAUAUUUUGAGGCAAAGUUGGACUGGAAUGUCCCCAAAUAUGGUAGAGCAAAUAGCACAUCUGCCAGAGAAAGAUCCUACACUUUAAAGAGAAGAAGCAGACAACUUCCUGGUGAAUUUAGGACUGCUUGAUGGUGUUGCAAUUUUAUUUGUUGAGUUAAUGAAACCAUUAGAGCCAUUCUUCCCAAUCUGGCCAGCUAAGUUAAAAAUAAAUAAAUAAAUAAAAGGAGACAAA
rnacentral:lncRNA from 1 species